GACGAACGCUGGCGGCGUGCUUAACACAUGCAAGUCGAACGGUGAAGCGCCUUCCUUUUUGGUGGGUGUGGAUGAGUGGCGAACGGGUGAGUAACACGUGAGUAACCUACCCCCUUCUUCUGGAUAACCGCAUGAAAGUGUGGCUAAUACGGGAUAUUCUGGGUCUGUCGCAUGAUGGGUCUGGGAAAGAUAUUGUUUCGGUGGGGGAUGGGCUCGCGGCCUAUCAGCUUGUUGGUGGGGUGAUGGCCUACCAAGGCGGUGACGGGUAGCCGGCCUGAGAGGGUGGACGGUCACACUGGGACUGAGACACGGGCAAGACUCCUACGGGAGGCAGCAGUGGGGAAUAUUGCACAAUGGGCGCAAGCCUGAUGCAGCGACGCCGCGUGAGGGAUGGAGGCCUUCGGGUUGUGAACCUCUUUCGCCAGUGAAGCAGGCCUGCCUCGUUUGUGGGUGGGUUGACGGUAGCUGGAGAAGAAGCGCCGGCUAACUACGUG
rnacentral:rRNA from 1 species